GGUUGCGAUCAUAACAACACUAAUGCACCAGAUCCCAUCAGAACUCCGCAGUUAAGCGUGCUUGGGCGAGAGUAGUACUAGGAUGGGUGACCCCCUGGGAAGUCCUCGUGUUGCAACCC
rnacentral:rRNA from 1 species